rnacentral:rRNA from 1 species
AGUGAACGCUGGCGGUAGGCCUAACACAUGCAAGUCGAACGGCAGCACAGUAAGAGCUUGCUCUUACGGGUGGCGAGUGGCGGACGGGUGAGGAAUACAUCGGAAUCUACUUUUUCGUGGGGGAUAACGUAGGGAAACUUACGCUAAUACCGCAUACGACCUACGGGUGAAAGCAGGGGAUCUUCGGACCUUGCGCGAUUGAAUGAGCCGAUGUCGGAUUAGCUAGUUGGCGGGGUAAAGGCCCACCAAGGCGACGAUCCGUAGCUGGUCUGAGAGGAUGAUCAGCCACACUGGAACUGAGACACGGUCCAGACUCCUACGGGAGGCAGCAGUGGGGAAUAUUGGACAAUGGGCGCAAGCCUGAUCCAGCCAUACCGCGUGGGUGUAGAAGGCCUUCGGGUUGUAAAGCCCUUUUGUUGGGAAAGAAAAGCAGCAGGUUAAUACCCCGCUGUUCUGACGGUACCCAAAGAAUAAGCACCGGCUAACUUCGUG